rnacentral:rRNA from 3 species
UAUCCUGUCUGAAUAUGGGGGGACCAUCCUCCAAGGCUAAAUACUCCUGACUGACCGAUAGUGAACCAGUACCGUGAGGGAAAGGCGAAAAGAACCCCGGCGAGGGGAGUGAAAAAGAACCUGAAACCGUGUACGUACAAGCAGUGGGAGCCCCACCACCAAAGCAUUUGCUGUACCGCGUUGACGGAGCGAAGCGACGUCAAACCGAUAAAACAGCAGUGUAAAGUGAGCCGCAGGGCGCUUUGCGCGACAGCGCAAAGGCAGGCGGUUUCGCGUAGCGAAAGCGAAUGCUUUGGGGUGGGGUGACUGCGUACCUUUUGUAUAAUGGGUCAGCGACUUAUAUUCUGUAGCAAGGUUAACCGAAUAGGGGAGCCGGAGGGAAACCGAGUCUUAAUUGGGCGUUAAGUUGCAGGGUAUAGACCCGAAACCCGGUGAUCUAGCCAUGGGCAGGUUGAAGGUUGGGUAACACUAACUGGAGGACCGAACCGACUAAUGUUGAAAAAUUAGCGGAUGACCUGUGGCUGGGGGUGAAAGGCCAAUCAAACCGGGAGAUAGCUGGUUCUCCCCGAAAGCUAUUUAGGUAGCGCCUCGUGAAUUCAUCUCCGGGGGUAGAGCACUGUUUCGGCUAGGGGGCCAUCCCGGCUUACCAACCCGAUGCAAACUGCGAAUACCGGAGAAUGUUAUCACGGGAGACACACGGCGGGUGCUAACGUCCGUCGUGAAGAGGGAAACAACCCAGACCGCCAGCUAAGGUCCCAAAGUCAUGGUUAAGUGGGAAACGAUGUGGGAAGGCCCAGACAGCCAGGAUGUUGGCUUAGAAGCAGCCAUCAUUUAAAGAAAGCGUAAUAGCUCACUGGUCGAGUCGGCCUGCGCGGAAGAUGUAACGGGGCUAAACCAUGCACCGAAGCUGCGGCAGCGACACUGUGUGUUGUUGGGUAGGGGAGCGUUCUGUAAGCCUGUGAAGGUGUGUCGUGAGGCAUGCUGGAGGUAUCAGAAGUGCGAAUGCUGACAUAAGUAACGAUAAAGCGGGUGAAAAGCCCGCUCGCCGGAAGACCAAGGGUUCCUGUCCAACGUUAAUCGGGGCAGGGUGAGUCGACCCCUAAGGCGAGGCCGAAAGGCGUAGUCGAUGGGAAACGGGUUAAUAUUCCCGUACUUGGUGUUACUGCGAAGGGGGGACGGAGAAGGCUAUGUUGGCCGGGCGACGGUUGUCCCGGUUUAAGCGUGUAGGUGUGUGUUCCAGGUAAAUCCGGUUCACUUUAACACUGAGGCGUGACGACGAGGCACUACGGUGCUGAAGCAACAAAUGCCCUGCUUCCAGGAAAAGCCUCUAAGCAUCAGGUAACAUCAAAUCGUACCCCAAACCGACACAGGUGGUCAGGUAGAGAAUACCAAGGCGCUUGAGAGAACUCGGGUGAAGGAACUAGGCAAAAUGGUGCCGUAACUUCGGGAGAAGGCACGCUGACACGUAGGUGAAGUGAUUUACUCAUGGAGCUGAAGUCAGUCGAAGAUACCAGCUGGCUGCAACUGUUUAUUAAAAACACAGCACUGUGCAAACACGAAAGUGGACGUAUACGGUGUGACGCCUGCCCGGUGCCGGAAGGUUAAUUGAUGGGGUCAGCGCAAGCGAAGCUCCUGAUCGAAGCCCCGGUAAACGGCGGCCGUAACUAUAACGGUCCUAAGGUAGCGAAAUUCCUUGUCGGGUAAGUUCCGACCUGCACGAAUGGCGUAAUGAUGGCCAGGCUGUCUCCACCCGAGACUCAGUGAAAUUGAACUCGCUGUGAAGAUGCAGUGUACCCGCGGCAAGACGGAAAGACCCCGUGAACCUUUACUAUAGCUUGACACUGAACAUUGAGCCUUGAUGUGUAGGAUAGGUGGGAGGCUUUGAAGUGUGGACGCCAGUCUGCAUGGAGCCGACCUUGAAAUACCACCCUUUAAUGUUUGAUGUUCUAACGUGGACCCGUUACCCGGGUUGCGGACAGUGUCUGGUGGGUAGUUUGACUGGGGCGGUCUCCUCCUAAAGAGUAACGGAGGAGCACGAAGGUUGGCUAAUCCUGGUCGGACAUCAGGAGGUUAGUGCAAUGGCAUAAGCCAGCUUGACUGCGAGCGUGACGGCGCGAGCAGGUGCGAAAGCAGGUCAUAGUGAUCCGGUGGUUCUGAAUGGAAGGGCCAUCGCUCAACGGAUAAAAGGUACUCCGGGGAUAACAGGCUGAUACCGCCCAAGAGUUCAUAUCGACGGCGGUGUUUGGCACCUCGAUGUCGGCUCAUCACAUCCUGGGGCUGAAGUAGGUCCCAAGGGUAUGGCUGUUCGCCAUUUAAAGUGGUACGCGAGCUGGGUUUAGAACGUCGUGAGACAGUUCGGUCCCUAUCUGCCGUGGGCGCUGGAGAACUGAGGGGGGCUGCUCCUAGUACGAGAGGACCGGAGUGGACGCAUCACUGGUGUUCGGGUUGUCAUGCCAAUGGCACUGCCCGGUAGCUAAAUGCGGAAGAGAUAAGUGCUGAAAGCAUCUAAGCACGAAACUUGCCCCGA